rnacentral:sRNA from 1 species
GCAUGUGCCAGUGGCGGGGCACAAGGCGCCAGCGGCGAGCACUGGCUUGCUUCACAGUGAACGCCUUCGUUGCCUGGCGACUAGUCCCUGAGGCUUAGCGGGGAGGGGGCGUCGGCGUUGGGCUCUCGCCUGUCUUCUCUGGGGGGAUCCUCGGGAUACUCCCACGAUCUAGGACAGGGCAGGGGCGAGCCAGCCUGAGGAAACGUCAAGGGAAGGCCCAGGGAUACACCGCGAAAUCCCUAAGGAUCCAAAAGGAUCCGCAGGAGGCGUCAGGCCUGCCUAGACGGAGUGGGAAAUCUUUAGAGAUGGAUCAUUUUCCUUACAAGUAGAUACCAGUCACAGAGAGAGGACAGCAGCGUACAUGGUGAGGUGCUGACGAUUCUGGUCCACUGGAUCCCACCAUCCCUAGGACAGUAAAUACCGUCCUAGUCACUACCCAGCAAGUUACCACCACAUCAUUUCCUGCAUGUUCCAAAAUGAAAAAAGACGGAGUCUCGCUCUGUCGCCCAGACUGGAGUGCAGUGGCGCAAUCUCAGCUCACUGCAAGCUCUGCCUCCCAGUUUCACGCCAUUCUCCUGCCUCAGCCUCCCGAGUAGCUGGGACUACAGGCGCCCGCCACCACACCCAGCUAAUUUUUUGUAUUUUUAGUAGAGACGGGGUUUCACUGUGCUGGCCAGCAUGGUCUCGAUCUCCUGAGCUCGUGAUCCACCCGCCUCGGCCUCCCAAAGUGCUGGGAUUACAGGCAUGAGCCACCGUGCCCAGCCAAAAAGCUGAUGUGUUUUAAGCAAAAUAAGCAUACGCAUCAAUAGUAAAAUGCUUCUGGUAAAAUAAAGGUUCAUUUUGUUGAUUUCUUUUUUUUUUUUUUUUCUGAGACGGAGUCUUGCUCUGUCGCCCAGUCUGGAGUGCAGUGGCACGGUCUCCGCUCACUGCAAGCUCUGCCUCCUGGGUUCACGCCAGUCUCCCGUCUCAGUCUCCCGUCUCAGCCACCCGAGUAGCUGGGACUACAGGCGCCUGCCACCACGCCCGGCUAAUUUUUUGUAUUUUUUAGUAGAGACAGGGUUUCACCGUGUUAGCCAGGAUGGUCUCGAUCUUCCUGACCUCGUAAUCCUCCCGCCUCGGCCUCCCAAAGUGCUGGUAUUACAGGCGUGAGCCACCGCGCCCGGCCUCAUUUUGCUGAUUUCUCUUGAGCUCAGGCCAGAAAAACUGGGAAAAUCACAGGCUCUUCCACUUACUGGAUGUUUGACAAAAUAUUCUUCUUGGGCCAAAAACAUUGGCAUUACUGGGACCACUGACAUUUAGGGAUGUGGCCAUAGAAUUCUCUCUGGAGGAGUGGCAAUGCCUGGACACUUCACAGCAGAAUUUGUAUAGGAAUGUGAUGUUAGAUAACUACAGAAACCUGGUCUUCCUGGGUAUUGCUGUCUCUAAGCCAGACCUGAUCACUUGUCUGGAGCAAGGAAAAGAGCCCUGCAAUAUGAAGAGACAUGCGAUGGUAGCCAAACCCCCAGUUGUGUGUUCUCAUUUUGCCCAAGACCUUUGGCCAAAGCAGGGCUUAAAAGAUUCUUUUCAAAAAGUGAUACUGAGAAGAUAUGGAAAAUAUGGACAUGAGAAUUUACAAUUAAGAAAAGGCUGUAAAAGUGCGGAUGAGCAUAAGGUGCACAAAAGAGGGUAUAAUGGACUUAACCAAUGUUUGACAACUACCCAGAGCAAAAUAUUUCAAUGUGAUAAAUAUGUUAAAGUCCUUCAUAAAUUCUCAAAUUCAAAUAUACAUAAGAAAAGACAAACUGGAAAGAAACCUUUCAAGUGUAAAGAAUGUGGCAAAUCAUGUUGCAUACUUUCACAACUAACUCAGCAUAAGAAAACUGUUACUAGAGUGAAUUUCUACAAAAGUAAGACAUGUGGAAAAGCCUUUAACCAGUUCUCAAAUCUUACUAAACAUAAGAUAAUUCAUACUGAAGUAAAUCCCUACAAAUGUGAAGAAUGUGGCAAAGCCUUUAACCAGCCCUUAACUCUUACUAAACAUAAAAAAAUUCAUACUGAAGAGAAACCUUACAAAUGUGAAGAUUGUGGCAAAGUCUUUAGUGUAUUUUCAGUCCUUACUAAACAUAAGAUAAUUCAUACAGGAACAAAACCCUACAAUUGUGAAGAAUGUGGCAAAGGCUUUAGUAUAUUCUCAACCCUUACUAAACAUAAGAUAAUUCAUACUGGAGAGAAACCCUACAAAUGCAAUGAAUGUGGUAAAGCCUUUAACUGGUCCUCAACUCUUACUAAACAUAAGAGAAUUCAUACUGGAGAGAAACCCUACAAAUGUGAAGAAUGUGGCAAAGCUUUUAACCAGUCCUCAACCCUUACUAGACAUAAGAUAGUUCAUACUGGAGAGAAACCCUACAAAUGUGAAGAAUGUGGUAAAGCCUUUAAACGGUCCACAACUCUUACUAAACAUAAGAGAAUUUAUACUAAAGAGAAACCAUACAAAUGUGAAGAAUGUGGAAAAGCCUUUAGUGUAUUCUCAACCCUUACUAAACAUAAGAUAAUUCAUACUGGAGCAAAACCUUACAAAUGUGAAGAAUGUGGCAGUGCCUUUAGGGCAUUCUCAACCCUUACUGAACAUAAGAGAGUUCAUACUGGAGAGAAACCUUACAAAUGCAAUGAAUGUGGUAAAGCCUUUAACUGGUCCUCAACUCUUACUAAACAUAAGAGAAUUCAUACUGGAGAGAAACCCUACAAAUGUGAAGAAUGUGGCAAAGCUUUUAACCGGUCCUCAAACCUUACUCGACAUAAGAAAAUUCAUACUGGAGAGAAACCAUACAAACCUAAAAGAUGUGACAGUGCUUUUGACAACACCUCAAACUUUUCUAGACAUAAAAGAAAUCAUAUGGGUGAGAAAUCCUAGAAAUGUGAAGAAUGUGACAAAGCCUUUAAGCGGUUGUCACACUUGAUUGUAUAUAAGAUAAUUCAUACUGGAGAAAACUCCCAGAA